rnacentral:rRNA from 1 species
AACGAACGCUGGCGGCAGGCCUAACACAUGCAAGUCGAACGCUCCAGCAAUGGAGAGUGGCAGACGGGUGAGUAACGCGUGGGAAUUUUCCCAGUGGUACGGAAUAGCUCAGGGAAACUUGGGGUAAUACCGUAUAAGCCCUUCGGGGGAAAGAUUUAUCGCCAUUGGAUGAGCCCGCGUUGGAUUAGCUAGUUGGUGAGGUAAUGGCUCACCAAGGCGACGAUCCAUAGCUGGUCUGAGAGGAUGACCAGCCACACUGGGACUGAGACACGGCCCAGACUCCUACGGGAGGCAGCAGUGGGGAAUAUUGGACAAUGGGCGCAAGCCUGAUCCAGCCAUGCCGCGUGAGUGACGAAGGUCUUCGGAUUGUAAAGCUCCUUUGGCGGGGACGAUAAUGACGGUACCCGCAGAAUAAGCCCCGGCUAACUUCGUGCCAGCCGCCGCGGUAAUAC